GCUGGGCGUGGAGGUGCACACCUGUAAUCCCAGGGGCUCGGAAGGCUGAGGCAAGAGGAUCAUGAGUUCAAAGUCAGCCUCAGCAAAUGUGAGGUGCUAAGCAACUCAGUGAGACCCUGUCUCUA
rnacentral:sRNA from 1 species